rnacentral:rRNA from 1 species
GAACGACUCUCGGCAACGGAUAUCUUGGGUUGCGCCCGAGGCUUUUGGCCGAGGGCACGUCU